AUGGUACCUUCUACAGCCUCCCCUACGACAAAGCCCUACUGCUUUCGAGGGUGCGGCUUCGCUGGGUACAAAGGCGUCUGUGGCAGCUGUCUUGUCUUCCCCCGCGACGAUGGGUGCUUCCUUGUCAACCCCUUCUCCAGGGCGGUCGUGACGCUCCCUCCUCUCUUGAGCGUCCGACUCCGGCCUCCAAAUGUAGUCGCUAAAUGGUCACUCGACGAGCAUGGGUCAAAAUUUGCCGACCCUUACACUACAUGGAUGCAUAUCAACAAGUCAAAGAAGCUGCACGCAAUUAAGCUAAUCCUGUGCUCGUCAAACCUUGUUCCCGCAUUGGUUGGCGUUGAGCACACCAGUCAGAUCCUAAUCUGCCAGCCAGGGGCCUUGUCGUGGUCGGUACGCACGUGUGAUGAAUGUAAGGAUUUUGAAGACAUGGCAUUCUACAAGGGCAAGCUCUAUGCCCUUGACGAUGAUGAGAACCUCCUUGUGGUGAACAUCAGCAACGACCAAAGCACCGGAGAUCUGCAGGUUUCUCGGAUUGGAAGGGUCAUCGAGGGCAAGGCGGAUUUCAGGUUAUACCAUGUUGGGUCUGAAGAGAACGGUUUGCCCGUCAAGAAGCUCUAUCUGGUUGAAUCGCGUGGCAUGUUGCUGAUGGUACGCAGGAAUAUUUGGUGCCAGGUUCCUGAAGUUAGACCUGGAGGGCCUCGUAAAAUUAUUGCUGGACGAAGCGAGUUUGAGGUAUUUGAGGCUGACUUUGAGCACUCGCGAUGGAUUAAGGUGUCGAUCAUGGGGGAUGACCAGGUGCUGUUUCUGGGUCGAAGGUGCUCCAGGGCUGUGGCCGUGUCUCGGUACGGGUUGUUGGGCAAUCGCAUCUUCUUCUUGGAUGAUGAUGAUGAGUAUCGUGUGGACUACAGUUACGUCGAGGAGAACACAUCAUGCAAUGCCUAUGACAUGAGACUCGGCGACAUCUCUUCCCCUCAUCCAAUGAUUUCCUGGAAGCGCCGCAAGGAGAUGCGUCUGGCAGCAUGGCUAUUCCCCCAAGACUGA
rnacentral:rRNA from 1 species